CUUCCUUCAAAAAAGGACUCUUCUUCAACCCGUCCUCCGGACUCGAGGAAUCCUCCUCCACGAUGGCAACUCCUCCGCCCUCCUCCUAUAAGAACCUCCUCCUCGCGCGAGCCACCUGAUUUGUUGAGAUCGUGGUAACACGCAAGUGCGGCGCGGAGCUCGCUCAAGGUCGAUGCGCCCCGUGGUGGUGGCGUUCGAGGCGGGUCGGCCCGAGGUUCAACAAUUUCUCGAUCUCCGGGGUUCAACAAUUUCUUGCCGGAUCCGCUCGUCGGCAUCCGUGGACUGCAUGAGCCGGAUGUCUCCUGUGCCCUAGCAGUGGUCACUCGAUCUCCCUCUCCCGAACGACCCCGGUACCCUCCCCAUCUGCUCUGUUAUUCUCAGACCUCGGCUGCGGCGUGGCUGCUAUCAGAACUUCUUCCUCAUAUCACGAUUUCAUGCACUACGCAUCCUGCUUGCCCAUAGCAACAGUAACACCAUCACCUUCGAUUGGAAUUACCUUAUUAGUGAAUUUGGUUUGAUUGGAAUUACCUUGUUUGUGCAAUUUGGUCAAGCGUGUUCACAUAUGAUGCCACUGAGCCUGGGAAUGAGGUGGAUUGAUCCUGCCUAGGCACUAGCUCCUGUGAUUAGAUGGAAAUCAGAGUGUAUGAUUUAUUCUUACAGAAAACUUUUCAUGCAAACUGGAUGUCCUCAUGUGUCCUUUCAGUACCAUGAUUGCAAUUCAUUUCAGCAAACUAUGUAAGGGCCAAAAACAGACAUGCUGCUGCAGAUGUACUACUUCUUCAGUUACAUGAAUAGAUAGAGCUAAAAAUAGAUUCUAUAACUGAUUUUUGAGUGUGGCACUGUCAAUUUCAAUAAAUCUGCACUACAAGCUAAAGGUGUGCUAUCUAAUACAGAUCAAUGAACAGAUCUUGCUGUGUUGUGAUGAACAGAUCCUUCAAAGUACCAGUUGUAAUGCAGCAGCAGGCCAUAUAUUGGUACAAAGAAACCAUAUAAACUGGAUUCAGUCACAAAAAAGAUCAUGUCCAUAUAAGUUCUCUUAUCUCUUGGUGUGGAUUUUCUUAGGAACUUACUUGGUGUGAAAUUAUGUUCCUGCUUUAAUAGCCAAAUCAAUAUCAACAGCUAUAUAUUCCAGUAUUUACUCCUUUCCACUUCUGUUCUACUAAUGUGUGCCUACUUUUUGUACAAUGCUCUUAACUGAAAUUGGUUGGUCAUGCAGACAGUAGGUGCAUGAGCCCAUGGCCGGUUGCGCCAGCGAUGGGGUUGGAGUGCAUAAUAGUGACAUCAACCUGAAUGCUGGCUGUUAAGCAUCUUCUUUGACGUCCAUACUACCACAUAUCUUAUUUAGUUUGACCUUCUGUGAGGAUGAGGGCUUCGUGUCUCACAUGAUAGUGUUCUCUCCCAAUCUUACGAGGCUACCACAAUCAUAAGGCAUCAUGUUCAUUAGGGAAAUAAAGGUUCAGGAAAAGAAGAUGGUUUGGGGAAACACAAAUAUGCUGGGGGCAUAGUAAAGCUGCAAUUCUAAAUGCAUGGACAAUAUCUCCUGCAGUUUUGAUUCAUUUUUAUUCAGGUAACUGCUCCAGGUGAGAAUGAUAUGCUGCUGGUCAUGCCAAAGGUUGUGAUACAUUUUCUUAUGAUAGUAUGAAUUGAUUGAUGAUGCAUCACAAGUAGCACAAGUUCUGCAAUAUCCAUUUCAGUAAGAAGUUUGCAUUGAGUAAUUCUUUUCAAGAAGAAGCGCUUACCAUGCACAACUAGCUAGCGAAUACUUCAUUCUUCGGUGGAAGACAUAGCAUAUAAUUACCUUGAGCACAUCAAUACAAGAUUUUCUAGCAUCAAGUAUUGUUCAUGGUUCACUCAUAAUGUGUGUUCUGUCCACUUUUCAACUUAAUUUUAUUAAGAUUUCUGGUUAUCACUGCAGGAGUUGCACUAGAGUCAAUGAGGGUAGUCUGCAUUGCAGACUGUGUUAACUAUUCUAGAUUUUAUCAACAUUAAAUUGUGCAUUGCCAUUGCCAUUUCCAUUUCUUGCAUCACCUACCUUGAAGUUGAGAGGAUUGAUUUUUUCUGUAAUUGUUCAAUUGGAAGUAAAAAAUUAACUCUGCAUGCUUACAUGAAGCUAGAUUCCUGAAAAAUAGUUGUUUUCGCACAGUAUAUCAGUAUUUUGUUUCCCGAUCUAAAAAAGAUGUGUCUUAGCCUGACACAAGAGUUUGGCUAAUCUGCAGUAUGACUCAUUAGUAGUAUUUUCUUAGACAUGUUGAAUCAUUCCUCUAUCCCAGUAUUCAAAAUUUACAUAUUGUGAUAUUGUCACAACUGUCAAGUGUAGGUUCUACAACCAAGCAGAAGUUGUCACCAAAGGUCAAGAUGGAAAUAGGUAAAACCGGUAUUUACAUGUUACACAUCCGCAGCUGUAGGAUGAACUGCCAUGGACUCCUGACCAACUAUCCCACACAUACGACUCUUUAAAAGGAUGUUCUUCCUCUAUCUCUCCAUGUCGUGUUUUAUUCCAUCCCAGACUUCAUGGUUCCAUCCGUACUGGAUUCCCAAUAAGGAGAACGUGAUUCGGUCCAUCUAUGCCUUCCCCUUAUCAUAUUCAAGGUUUUGCAUUACAGGAUGAUUGAUGCGUCCGAUGAGGAUCCACAAUAAUGUGAAGUAAGGAGGCGACAUCGGUAGUUGAGGCUGUCAAGUGGAGGAAUAUGUUGGAUUGGUGGUGGCACGCAAAUCACACUCUAAAUCCAAUUGGAGUUCAUCUAUUCUACCAUCGCCCCACGCCGUCGCACUUCUCCUUACCAGAUUACACGAUGGAGGGAGGGGGGAACCAGCUGGGGCGGUCUGCAGUCUGCAAAGUCUAAAGUUGAACCCUGCACGGACAUCUCGCCGAUGCCGACAAUAUUUGGUUUGGUUUCAGUGAGCACGUGCUUGAACGCCUCAAAUUUUCUUGAUAUGUCCCUACAGUUAAGGCUGGCUCCUUGACGCUCCUGCAGGCUGCCAGGAAGGACCUAUUCAAUUGUGUUGGUUGUUGUGUUCGUUCUAAUGGGAUACAAGUCACAUGGCGUGAUGGACAUCAGGUGUGCAGAAAUAUGUUUGUGCUUUGAUAGUUUCCUGAUAUGCGCACAUGUGUUUUUAAUACUUCCCCUUGGAUUAUAGGAAUUAGACUUGUGAUGGAAAUCAGACAGGCAGAAAUAUGUUUGCUGUAAAUAGAGUAUAAGAGCUCCUAUGAAUUAAUAUGUUAGAAGUUCAAUGAUCGAUCUCAUCUUAUUAGUAACUGAGUUAAGCAACAGGCAUAUGUACUAUCAGUUUUUAUGUCUGACGCUCUUGCCUUCCAUACGUACUGAAUUAACAAAAUUCCUAUGUUCAGGAGGCGAUGCAGCGCUGGAAAAAACUCA